rnacentral:rRNA from 1 species
GAUGAACGCUAGCGGCAGGCUUAACACAUGCAAGUCGAGGGGUAUAGAAAGCUUGCUUUCUAGAGACCGGCAAACGGGUGCGGAACACGUACACAACCUACCUUUAUCAGGGGGAUAGCCUUCGGAAACGGAGAUUAAUACCCCAUAGUAUUAUGGAGUGGCAUCAUUUUAUAAUUAAAGAAUUUCGGAUAGAGAUGGGUGUGCGUAAGAUUAGCUGGUUGGUGAGGUAAAGGCUCACCAAGGCAACGAUCUUUAGCUGAUGUGAGAGCAUGAUCAGCCACACGGGCACUGAGACACGGGCCCGACUCCUACGGGAGGCAGCAGUGAGGAAUAUUGGUCAAUGGACGGAAGUCUGAACCAGCCAUGCCGCGUGAAGGAUGAAGGCGUUCUGCGUUGUAAACUUCUUUUAUUUGGGAAGAAAUGCCAAUUUUCUAAUUGGUUUGACGGUACCAGAUGAGUAAGCACCGGCUAACUCCGUGCCAGCAGCCGCAGUAACAC